CAGCGGGCUGCAGGGCUGCGGGCGCUUGGUUCGGCCUGGCCCGGCCGGCGGCUCCUAACACCGGGCGGGCGGCUGCGGCGGCACUUCCGGGUUGGCCUUCUCCAUGUUGGUCUCGGGAACGUGAAGGGGCGGGGCCUCGAGGUCAGGGGUCAGCACCUCCCUGGUUGCCGUGGCGACUGGAGGCGCGCGACGCGGGCGCAAUGGCGGGGACCCGGGGCUUGAUGCUGCUUGGGCCUGGCCCAGUGGCGGGUCCUAGGGACGUGGGUACCUGCAGAGGCCGGCAGGAUGGAGAUUCAGAAACAUAAGGACAACAAGAAACUUCCCCAAGGUAUCAUUAUAGUCUUUAGACUUCAGACACACACCACACCUCAAAUAUAUACACAACUGAAAGGGAAAAUUAAGGAAGUUUUUCAAAGAACCCUAUUCCGAGUAAGAAGUGUGUUGCAUGAAUUUCUAAGGAGCCAGAAAAUGCAUGACACAGGAGAAGAUGUACCCUCAUCUGUUCAGUGAGAGAUGUGCAAAUCAACAUCAACACAGAACUGCUGAAGAAAAAAAAUAUGGUCUCUGAAAAGCAACUUAUUCACUGGAGAUGUGAGGAGCCAUCCGCACAUCACAAUUCUAUAGACAUCAAACGCAUGAAGCAUUUCGGAUCUGCUUUAAGACUGAGGCAGACUUUCCAUCUGGACACAGCCGACCAUCCAUGUGUCAUUACAAUGAAUCCAGCACUUCCCUGGAAGCUGGAAGGGUCAAAUUCAACUUCAACUCUGCCACUUCCUGCUUAACUUGCUGUUUAACCUUGGGCAAGCUGCCAUCCCACACGAGGCCGAAGGUGUCGGUUUUUAAAAUACAGAAAUUUGGUUCCAUGAGGGAUUAUCAAUAUACUGCUGGUGGGCCAAAUUCCAUCUGCUACUUGCCUUUGUAAAUAAAGUUUUAUUGAAACACAAACAUGCCCAUUAGUUUACUCUUGUCUGUGACUACAAGGGCAAAGUUGAAUAGUUGUUACAGAGACCAUCAGGCUCACAAAGCCUAGGUUAUUUACUAUCUGCCCAUUUACAGAGUAAGUUUGCCAGCCCUGGACUGGAUAAUUUUUUGAGUUCUUUCUAAUUCUAGAAUUCUUUAUAUAUUUUAUGAAACCCCUAAUGUUUAUAUAUUAAUUAUUUCAAUACCCGUGUCUUUACUGAGUCCCUCCUAUGAAGCAUACAUCAAGACAUAUGUGUGAUACAUUAACUAAACUUUUAACAGUAUCUUAAAUAGGAUUUCAAUGACUAACAGCUCUUGGAAAUAUCCAAGGUAACAUUUGGGGGCAAAUGUCUUAUGAUUUGAUUAUCAUUGGUAAAUAGAGCAUAUCUUUUUUUCCACUAACAAUGUUUAAGAAGUUAAAAAAAAAUCAAGAAAACCCCGUAUGGCACUAGAGACUUAUUGCAUUAAGACAUCAUCUUAACAGAUUGUUUAGUUUUGGUAAUAUAAUUUGACAUCUAAACAUAAGCUGAGAGGGAUCUCCCUCAAAACCUUUGAUAAUAUGAUUCAUUGUCAAAUGUUUGUUUUGCCUAUCUGGCACUCAUUAAUUAAUUCUUUUUAAUAUAGCUUGGAUUUACUGAUUUUGAAAAAGAGAAUUAUUCUUAUUGAUGUUGCUAAAAUAUCCAGGUGGCUUGAAUUUCACCAACUAGAUAGUUUAAUCUAGCACAUUUGUGUAGCCCUAAUCAAAUCUUUACUAACAGAUGUGAGAAGCCCAGUACUGGAGCUAAUGUUUGUGUCUCAAUGAUAAUUAAAUUAGCUUAAUAAGGAAAAUAAAUGAACAAUAAUCACCAAAAUUUUUCCCUAAACCUGUGUUAUAGUCUUAAAAACAUUUUUUCCCCUAUGGAGGCUUUUGGUAAUAAAACACAAAUUGAGGGAUUUUAAUUAAAAGAAAUUUUUUUUUCAAGAACUGGUCAUGUACUAAAUUGCUUAUAAUCAAAUAAUCAAGUAGCAUUUCUUUUAUUAUAAGAGCAAAACCUAUAAUUAAGCCAAAAUUCAAAUUUGUUUUUAAAGGUUGAAUAAUCUUUUGUUUUGGCCAAUAGUAUGUGGAUUUUUUUUUUAAGUAUUAUCUCUUUGUAGUAUUUUCUAAUGGAUAGGAAAUGCCUUUCUCAGGUUGAAUGAUUAUUUCCACAUAGAAUUAGUUCCUGCUUACAACAGUGCUCCACUAAUGUAAUGGCUCGGUGAAUUGGCUUUAUAAUUCAUUAAUCAUAGCUCACAUUGAGCUUUUGGCUCCAGGUGACAGUGCCCACCACAGGCCAAAUAACUUCUCAUUUAAAGGCAAUUUGUACAAAUAGGGAAGGUGAGAAUUCUCACAGUCCCAGAGGGAUUGAAGAGUUUUAAAAAACCAAGAUAAGGCAUUUUAUGGAAGACAGGUUGAUGGAAGAAAAGUGGCCAUUGGAGGAUGAGGCAGAUGGCUUUCCAGGGAGGCCCUGGAGCUGCCACCAUGGGGAAGGCCAUGUUGCAGCUGCUGAUCAGAGCACAUUGGACGGUGUUUCCGUGUGAACAUGAAGACAAUGCUGCCUCUGUUUCUGUGACGCUGUGCUCUGAUCUUGCUGGAGGCGAAGUGGUGUCAGCUGUGCUUACAGGACAGUCAGUGGUGGUAGAAAAGAGGCCAGUGUGACCUGUGAAGGACUGGGCCCCUCUCACUCAACCUGAGUGCCUGCAGUUGUGGCCACCUUUAUUUGUGUAUUCUACUGUAUUUAUUUAUUUGCCUGGCUAAUUAGCUCUGUGCCACAUUCCUAAGCUAGAUGUGUCCCUUCAUGUAAGUGAGAGGGAGACAGAAAGAAAGACUGAGGUGGGGGGUAGGAGAAAGAGAGGAAAGCAAGCAAGAAGAAAGAGAAAGAGAGAAGAAGAAAGGAAGAGGAAAGAAAGAGAGAAAGAGAAAGAGAAGGAAGGAAGGAGAAAGAGAAGGAAAGAAGGAGCCUUCUAAUUUUAUUUCAUUUCUCCAAUAAAUGUUCCUAUAUUAAGACUUUAGACAAAGAUUAGAAAUAUGAUUUGACAGAAAGUGUAUGGAUGUGUUGUUCUAUUGCAUUGUAAGUAAAGUAUCCAUGGCAAUAUACAAAUAAUACAGCUCCUACCCCUAUUCUCUGUUGUUACUUUCAUGUGUUGUCUUAACUUUUUAAAUUUCAAGAUAAUAUUGCGCUUAUUUAUUUUUCCAUGAGGAGGCCUAGGAUUUAGCUUGAUUAGAAAAGCUGUGGAAAAUGAAUGUGCUAAUUACUUUAAAUCAAAUUGAAAAUAAAUUUUAUCCUGUUUCAUGCAAAACA
rnacentral:lncRNA from 1 species